UCGGGAUAGCUCAGUUGGUAGAGCAGAGGACUGAAAAUCCUCGUGUCCCCGGUUCAA
rnacentral:tRNA from 1 species